GCCAGUCUGAUGUAGUGGCUUAAGCACUGGACUACAACUCUGGAGAACAGGGUUCGAAUCCCUGUUUGGCC